rnacentral:rRNA from 1 species
GACGAACGUUGGCGGCGUGCUUAAUACAUGCAAGUCCACUGAAGCAGUGGUAGCAAUAUCGCUGUGGAGGUGGCGCACGGGUGAGUAACACGUAGGUAAUCUGCCUUCAGGUCUGGCAUAACUCCGGGAAACCGGGGCUAAUAGCAGAUGAUGCAGCGGCUCGACAUCGAGACAGUUGUUAAAGCUAUGGCGCCUGAAGAUGAGCCUGCGUCUGAUUAGCUAGUUGGCGGGGUAACGGCCCACCAAGGCAACGAUCAGUAGCUGGUCUGAGAGGAUGAUCAGCAACACUGGAACUGAGACACGGUCCAGACUCCUACGGGAGGCAGCAGUAAGGAAUAUUGCGCAAUGGGAGAAAUCCUGAAGCAGCAACGCAGCGUGAGGGACGAAGGGCUUUUGCUUGUAAACCUCUGUAGUGAGAGAAAAAAAUCCCAAUCUUUGGGACAUGAUGGUAUCUCAAAAGUAAGCCCCGGCUAACUACGUG